rnacentral:tRNA from 1 species
UGGAGAUGUAGCUCAGUGGUUGAGUGUUUGCCUAACAUAUAAAAGAUCCUGGGUUCAAGACCCAACACUGCAA